rnacentral:rRNA from 1 species
GACGAACGCUGGCGGCGUGCUUAACACAUGCAAGUCGAACGGAAAGCCCCUUUUCGGGGGGACUCGAGUGGCGAACGGGUGAGUAACACGUGGGUGAUCUGCCCUGCACUUUGGGAUAAGCCUGGGAAACUGGGUUUAAUACCGAAUACACCUUGCUUGGUCGCAUGGCCUGGUGAGGGAAAGCUUUUCCGGUGUGGGAUGGGCCCGCGGCCUAUCAGCUUGUUGGUGGGGUGAUGGCCUACCAAGGCGACGACGGGUAGCCGGCCUGAGAGGGUGUCCGGCCACACUGGGACUGAGAUACGGCCCAGACUCCUACGGGAGGCAGCAGUGGGGAAUAUUGCACAAUGGGCGCAAGCGUGAUGCAGCGACGCCGCGUGAGGGAUGACGGCCUUCGGGUUGUAAACGUCUUUUAGCAUCG